UACGAAGGGUGCAAACGUUGCUCGGAAUCAUUGGGCGUAAAGCGCACGUAGGCGGCCCUGUAAGUCGGAUGUGAAAUCCCUCGGCUCAACCGAGGACGUGCAUCCGAAACUGCAGAGCUCGAGUAUGGAAGAGGGUCGCGGAAUUCCCGGUGUAGAGGUGAAAUGCGUAGAUAUCGGGAGGAGCACCAGUGGCGAAGGCGAAUCCCUGGAAAAUACCUGACACUGAGGCACGAAAGCUAGGGGAGCAAACAGG
rnacentral:rRNA from 1 species